CCCGCGCCCAGGCCUGGCCCACAUAAACGCGGAGAAUGGCGCAGCCGACCGCGCCGCCGCGGCGGCGGCCUCCGCCACGAAGCAGCCGAGCAGCCGGGGGUGGCGAGUGGCGACGAGCGGUGCGGCCUUGCAUGCUAGCCGGUGGAGGACCCGAGGGCACACAGCCUCCACCGGCGGGCCUACCCUUCCCGCGGGAGGCGGGGGCUCCUCGUGCUCGUCGGCGCCCAUGAGAUUAGAUGUCAGCUGGUGUGCUGAAUAAAAUGCAGGGACGCACAUAUCAGCAUGCAUAUACUUGUCACGGGCAAAUUCUGGAGAAUGGAGGCAUGGAAAUCUUAGAUUAAGCUGACUUGUCAUUGCACAACAAAUUGUUGCCUGGUGUCUCGCGAGAUGCAAAAUUAGGACUUGGUUGGACCUCUGAACCAGAGCUUGUGAAUUCUAUGGAUAUUUCAAUCUCUUGUUGGCAUGUACCAUCUUCCAGAUCGUUUGGCACUAUCACCUGCAUGCUCCGGGCCUGAGUAACAUCACCAGGGCUAUUAAAAGAGCAGAAGUUGAAGCAACUCCUGUGACCAGAAAGAGUCCUGAAAAACUUUUGAAGUUUAGACUGCUUGGACUUGCAAUGGCACCAUCAUUUUGACAG